UGAGAAUAGCAGAUAGCUAGCAGGGAGUCCUUCAGCUGGACAAAGAAGCAGACGCAGGAGACAGCUGUGUGUGACCCAAAACUUGGAGGCCAGCCUGACCCAGCUAACCGCGGGAAAGACAGCUCGAUGGAUAAAAUCAAUGUUGUACAUUGAUGACCUGCGUUCACUUCCUGGAUCCCGUCGUGGAAGGAGAGAACCAACUUUUGAAAGUUGUCCUUUGACCUCCACAUGUGCGUCAUGGCACUCGAACACAUGUACACAUGUGUAUACAAGAAGAAUAAAUAUUAAGUGGCCACUUCAGGAACAUGGAGAUAAGCGUAUCCGAGCUGCCCUGGGGAAUGGAUGUGAGGUCACCUCAGUGUGUGCGGAGCAGAGAAGACCUGGAUCUUCCAGUUUGUGGACGCCAGCCUUCUGGGAUCACCUAGGAUGGAUGGGGUCUACCGCCAUCUUGGUCCCUGGCCUGACCUUCUCCUCAUUCCAGUGAUGAAUGGACUGGGCUGUGAUCUUGCUGUUUGACCCACAUCCCCCUUUAACCUGUGAUGGAUGGACACUUGCUAGGCACAUAUCCCCUCAAAGCAGAGGCAACAACCAACUUGUCAUUUAAAAGGGGAGAUUUAUGACGGUUAGCUAGAAGAAGUGUUUUUACAGAGGGAUAAUUGGUUGCUGGGGUGACAGUCACACCGCAGCUGGUGAGACGCUCAAGCUGGUGAGAGGCCUACUCCCUCCUUCCUUCAUGGUUUUCAUGGUGGGGGAGGUGAGGCCCAUAGCCAGAAGCCAGGGGAAACUGGCAAUUGUUAGCCUGAAGAACACGUGUUCUUUCUUUGAAUCUGUUUUGCGCAUUCUUUUGAGUUAGCCCCCAAAUAAUGGUCUCAGAUGUGUACCUUCUUUGGAUCAUGUCAGAAAGUGAAGAAAUAAUCUCUCUCUCUCUCUCUCUCUCUCUCUCUCUCUCUCUCUCUCUGUGUGUGUGUGUGUGUCUUUAUCUCUCUCUCUCUCUCUCUCUCUCUCUCUUAGGCAAGGUCUCAUGCAGUCCAGGCUGGCCUUGAACUCCUGAUCCUCCUGCCUUUGCUUCCCAAGUGCUAGAAUGCCAAGAGUAUACCCCCAGGCCUGAUUUAUGCAACGAGAACCCAGGGCUCCAAGCACCUUCAAGUGAGAAAGUGUUUAUUCUGUCUCACAGUUUUAGCCAACAAAGUGAGGAAGACUUGGCUUCAGGCCUAGGAGGCAUGGUAGGGCAAGCUGGUUACAUUUCUUAAGUGGCCAGGAAGGAGGGGGGGUGCACAGAGACAAUGAGACAGAAGGAGACAGACAGGGAGAAAAACAGAAAGACAUAGGCACAGAGAGAGAAUGCUGUAAUUUGUAAAGGCUCCACCAGCUCCCCACACAGCACCACCACCAGCUGGCAACCACAUGUUUAAACACAUGAAUCUAUGAGGCAUGUAAAAAAAUACCCCAAAACUAUAUUUCUUUAUUUAUUGGGUUGGGUAUGUGGAGGUUAGAGAACAACUGUAGAAAGACCACAGAGAAGUAAUCACAAUCCUCUGUUUAGACACGGCAAGGACCUGCAGAGAUGGACCACACUGGGAACGUUGUAUUAGUUACUUUGGUGUUACUGUGACAGAAUGCCAAACACAGCCACCUGAGGGAAGAAGAAAAGUUGUUGUUGUUGUAUUGUUGUUGUUUUGCUUAUAGUCGUGGGCUUCAGACCAUCAUAAUAGGGAAGGCUCAGCAGAGUGGCUCUAUCCUGAUGACAGACAUGCGUGAAACUGUUUCAUCAUGGUAGACCAGGAAGCUAAGAAUGGGCAGAAGCAAGGGCUGAGCUGGACUAUGACUUCUACCAACCCAUGUCUUAAAGACUUCACAGCUGUCUGCCAUGAGUGCCCACCAGGGGACAAACAUUCAAGACAGGAACCAGAGGAGGCAUUUCUGGUGUUUCCCACAGUUUCUUUGAGAAACAAGGGUGUUGGCCCCAUUGCGGCACAAGUUAUAUUUUUGCCAUUCUUACUUUUCUGUAAUUAGUGUUUCUGAGAGUUACCUGAGUCCUUCUGGAACAGCAUGGGUAUAAGUAAAUGAUAUUUUAUUUUAUUUUAUGUUCAUUGAUGUUCUGCUUGCAUGUAUGUCUGUAUGAGGGCAUCAGAUUCCCUAGAACUGGAAUUACAGACAGCUAUGAACUGCUGUGUGGGUGCUGGGAAUCGAACCUCCGUCCUUUGUAAGAGUAGCUGGUGAUCUUAACGGCUGAGCCACCUCUCUAUUCCCAAAUUGUUUUUUUAAACACACACACACACACACACACAGAGAAUGUUGAUAGGAAUAGGAAUGGAGACAUAAACCUGUAAUCCUUGCACUUAAGAGGCUGAGGCUAAAGCUGGGCGGUGGUGGCACACGCCUGUAAUCCCAGCACUUUGGGAGGCAGAGGCAGGCAGAUUUCUGAGUUCGAGGCCAGCCUGGUCUACAGAAUGAAUUCCAGGACAGCCAGGGCUAUACAGAGAAACCCUGGCUCAAAAAAAGGGGGGGGGAGGGUUGAGGCUAGAGGAUUGUGAAGUUAUAAAGUUAGGGUUGGCCUGGGCUACACAGCAAGACACGUGUGUCCAAAAGAAAAUGAAAUGCUUGAAAGCCCCAUUGCCUGGCUACACCCCUGCCGUAAGCUCCGCUGUAGUCCUGAUGUAGUACUAAGCGUUUGCUAUAUUUUCUCCCUCUGAGCUCCUGUCGUAGUGGGAAAGAGGGUGUAUUUUAAAGUUUGAAUUGAGAUCAAGACUCUACAUGAGAUCAAAAUAAUUUAUUAAAUUCAUACAUUC